GACAGAACACUCACCAUGGACUUUGGGCUGAGCUGGGUUGUCCUUGUGGCUAUUUUACAAGGUGUGCAGUGUGAGGUGCAGCUGGUGGAGUCUGGGGGAGGCUUGGUGAAGCCUGGGGCGUCUCUGAGACUUUCCUGUGCCGCCUCUGGAUUUACUUUUGAUGAUUAUGCCAUGAGCUGGGUCCGCCAAGCUCCAGGGAAGGGGCUGGAGUGGAUCUCAGUUAUUAGUUGGGAUGGUGGUAGCACAUACUAUGCAGACGCUGUGAAGGGCCGAUUCACCAUCUCCAGAGACAACUCCAAGAACACGCUGUAUCUGCAAAUGAACAGCCUGAGAUCUGAGGACACGGCCGUGUAUUACUGUGCGAAAGAUACACAUGAUUACUACGGUAUAGACGCCUGGGGCCAAGGGAUCGAUGUCACCGUCUCCUCAGUCUCCGUCAAGGCCCCGGCAGUCUACACUCUGGAUUCCAGCUGUGGGAGCACAACCGGCUCCACAGUGGUCGUGGGCUGCCUGGUCUCGAGCUACAUCCCUGAGCCAGUGACUGUGACCUGGAACUCGGGCAUCCUACCCAGCAGCGUGCACACCUUCCCAUCCGUCCGAGGGUCCUCGGGGCUGUACUCUCUCAGCAGCACUGUGACCGUGCCUGCCAGCACCUCGUCCGGCAAGACCUUCACCUGCAACGUAGCCCACCCGGCCAGCAGCACCAAGGUGGACAAGCGCAUCGAAAUCAAGGACUCCACACCUCUCCCAUGCCCCAAGUGUCCUGAAUGCCCCAAGUGUCCCAAAUGUCCACCCCCUGAGCUCCCAGGAGGACCGUCCGUCUUCAUCUUCCCCCCGAAACCCAGGGACACCCUCACAAUAUCCCAAACUCCCGAGGUCACCUGCGUUGUGGUUGACGUGGGCCACGAGGACCCCGAUGUCCAGUUCUCCUGGUAUGUGGACGAUGUAGAGGUGCGCACGGCCAAGACAAAGCCAAGGGAGGAGCAAUUCAACAGCACUUACCGUGUGGUCAGCGCCCUGCCCAUCCAGCACCAGGACUGGCUGAAGGGAAAGGAGUUCAAGUGCAAGGUCAACAACAAAGGCCUCCCGGCCCCCAUCGUGAGGACCAUCUCCAAGGCCAAAGGGCAGCCCCGGGAGCCGCAGGUGUACAUACUGGCCCCAGCGCGGGAAGAGCUGGCCAAGAGCUCGGUCAGCGUCAGCAUAACCUGCAUGGUCACCGACUUCUACCCGAGCGACAUUGAUGUGGAGUGGCAGAGAAACGGGCAGCCGGAGCAAGAGGAAAACUAUCGCACGACCCCACCCCAGCUGGAGGCCGACGGGUCCUUCUUCCUGUACAGCAAGCUCAGGGUGGACAAGAAGAGCUGGCAGCGGGGAGACACCUACACGUGUGUAGUGUUGCACGAGGCUCUACACAAUCACAACACGCAGAAGUCCAUCACCCAGUCUUCGGAGCUGCUGCUAGAGGAGGAGACCUGUGCUGAUGCCCAAGACGGGGAGCUGGACGGGCUGUGGACGACCAUCUCCAUCUUCAUCACCCUCUUCCUGCUCAGCGUGUGCUACAGCGCCACCGUGACGCUCUUCAAGGUGAAGUGGAUCUUCUCGUCGGUGGUGGAGCUGAAGCGGACGAUUGUCCCCGACUACAGGAACAUGAUCGGACAGGGUGCCUAGCGCUCGCUACGGGCUGCGUCCUGGGCCGCCCCUGACCUAUAGGACCACGUCUAUCCCCCUGUGCCGCUCAGCCUGCGCCAGGCCUCUCCUCCGCCCGCUGACCUCGCCAGCCUCUGAGCUCACGAGCACCCUCACCUGCACCCCCGGCCUCUGGCCUCGUGGCCACCACAACCUGCCCCCCACCUCACUCACAGACCCGAGGGGACCGCAGGUGAUGCCCAACCUGAGCUGAUGUCCCCGCAGGACACCUCCGGGACCCCAGGGACCAACGGGAACACCCGGGUCGGCGUGGGGGUCCCCCUCGAACAGGAGGAGGAGGCCGGCGUCUGGGCCUCUGCACAGGGCCUGGCCCCUGCAUCUUGUCCCGGCCGAGCUCCAGACGCAGGGUCCCCGGGAGGAGGGCCUGUGCCAGAUGCUGGAGGGGAGCCGCCCGCCUCUCCCAGCAGGAGAGCUUCUGCAGGUGCCGCUAACGGUCCCUCAGGUCACCUCCACCGAGGACACUGCUCAGAGCAAGGCCUGGGCCCGAGGCCGCUGCAGGAGCCCCAGCGCGGGAGGCGGUGAGGUCCAGCCAGACCGGCCUCCCGGGGAGCACGCUGUUGACCUGGUGCCCCGCGGGCUGAGCUGGAGGGGCUCCCGGAAAAGAGGGCAGAAGGCGCGGCCAGCCCAUCCUGCAGCCAAAGGCCUGAGGCACGUACAGCAGGAGCUCCGCCUGCACCGGGGUGGGGGUGAGAGACGCGACCCGCGUAGGGCCAGCCUCGGACCCCGGGCCCCCGCCUCAGGGCCCGGUACCAGCUCUCCGGUCUCUGCGGAAAAGCGCAGUCAGCAUGCGCGUGUGGUGGAGCUGCUCCCGGACUGGAGAGAAGGGCCACGUGAUCGCAGCUCGGGAGGCUUUUCUCCUUCUGAACGUGGGGCCCGUCGAUGCUCUUCGCUGUGUCUUCAUUUUGUUACGACAAUAAAGCGUUCUUUACAGUC